CCUACGGGAGGCAGCAGUGGGGAAUAUUGCACAAUGGAGGAAACUCUGAUGCAGCGAUGCCGCGUGAGUGAAGAAGGCCUUUGGGUUGUAAAGCUCUUUCGUCGGGGAAGAAAAUGACUGUACCCGAAUAAGAAGGUCCGGCUAACUUCGUGCCAGCAGCCGCGGUAAUACGAAGGGACCUAGCGUAGUUCGGAAUUACUGGGCUUAAAGAGUUCGUAGGUGGUUGAAAAAGUUGGUGGUGAAAUCCCAGAGCUUAACUCUGGAACUGCCAUCAAAACUUUUCAGCUAGAGUAUGAUAGAGGAAAGCAGAAUUUCUAGUGUAGAGGUGAAAUUCGUAGAUAUUAGAAAGAAUACCAAUUGCGAAGGCAGCUUUCUGGAUCAUUACUGACACAGAGGAACGAAAGCAUGGGUAGCGAAGAGGAUUAGAUACCCUCGUAGUCCAUGCCGUAAACGAUGUGUGUUAGACGUUGGAAAUUUAUUUUCAGUGUCGCAGCGAAAGCGAUAAACACACCGCCUGGGGAGUACGACCGCAAGGUUAAAACUCAAAUGAAUUGACGGA
rnacentral:rRNA from 1 species